GCCGUCCUGUAGCCGGGCCGGCUUGGGGCUUGGUUCUAUGUCCCUGCGGAAUGCACAAGAUUUGCAAAGACUAGGUGAUAGUAGAAGGUUUGGACGAACUUUCAGAAGGUUGAGGUGAAUUCAGCUAAGAAGAACAGCUAUGUUUCCAGUGUCCUCUGGGUGUUUCCAAGAGCAACAAGAAAUGAAUAAAUCUCUG
ensembl:lncRNA novel transcript